rnacentral:rRNA from 1 species
UACGUAGGGGGCAAGCGUUGUCCGGAUUUAUUGGGCGUAAAGAGCGUGUAGGCGGCUUUACAGGUCCGUUGUGAAAACUCGAGGCUCAACCUCGAGACGCCGGUGGAAACCGUAAAGCUAGAGUCCGGAAGAGGAGAGUGGAAUUCCUGGUGUAGCGGUGAAAUGCGCAGAUAUCAGGAGGAACACCUAUUGCGAAGGCAGCUCGCUGGGACGUAACUGACGCUGAGACGCGAAAGCGUGGGGAGCAAACAGG